rnacentral:rRNA from 1 species
GAUGAACGCUGGCGGCGUGCCUAAUACAUGCAAGUCGAGCGAACAGACGAGGAGCUUGCUGCUUUGACGUUAGCGGAGGACGGGUGAGUAACACGUGGGUAAUCUACCUAUCAGACUGGGAUAACUUCGGGAAAGCGGAGCUAAUACCGGAGAAUAUUUCGAACCGCAUGGUUCGAUAGUGAAAGUUGGCUUUGCUAUAACUUAUAGAUGGACCUGCGCCGUAUUGGGUAGUUGGUAAGGUAACGGCUUACCAAGGCAACGAAACGUAGGCGACGUGAGAGGCGGAUCGCCCACACGGGAGCGGGGACAGGGUCCAGGCUCCUACGAGAGGGCGCAGAAGGGAAUGUGCCGCAGUAGGGGAAAGCCUGACGGAGCAACGGCGCGUGAGAUAUGACGGUCUUCGGAUCGUAAUACUCUGUUAUUAGGGAUGAACAAACUUGUAAAGAGCUGUGCACGUCGUGACGGUACCUAGUCAAGAAGCCACGGCUAACUACGUG